rnacentral:rRNA from 1 species
CGUGUCCGGAUCACUGGCGUAAAGCGCGCGCAGGCGUGAUGUAAGUCUGAGGUGAAACCCGAAGCUCAAAUUCGGGAUGCCUUGGAUACUGCGUCACUUGAGGAUAGGAGAGGCAAGGGGAAUUCCACGUGUAGCGGUGAAAUGCGUAGAGAUGUGGAGGAACACCUGUGGCGAAGGCGCCUUGCUAGCCUAUUUCUGACGCUGAGGCGCGAAAGCGUGGGGAGCAAACAGGAUUAGAUACCCUGGUAGUCCACGCUGUAAACGAUGAGUGCUAGGUGUAGGUGGGCUCAUACCCAUCUGUGCCGAAGCUAACGCAUUAAGCACUCCGCCUGGGGAGUACGGUCGCAAGACUGAAACUCAAAGGAAUUGACGGGGGCCCGCACAAGCAGUGGAGCAUGUGGUUUAAUUCGAAGCAACGCGAAGAACCUUACCAGGACUUGACAUCCCAUAGACCAGUCUAGAGAUAGACUUUCCCUUCGGGGCUGUGGUGACAGGUGGUGCAUGGUUGUCGUCAGCUCGUGUCGUGAGAUGUUGGGUUAAGUCCCGCAACGAGCGCAGCCCUUACUUUGUGUUGCCAGCAUUCAGUUGGGCACUCACAAGGGACUGCCGCCGAUAAGGCGGAGGAAGGUGGGGAUGACGUCAAAUCAUCAUGCCCCUUAUGUCCUGGGCUACACACGUGCUACAAUGGGCGGUACAACGGGAUGCGAAGCCGCGAGGUGGAGCCAAACCCUGAAAACCGUUCGUAGUUCGGAUUGUAGGCUGCAACUCGCCUACAUGAAGCCGGAAUUGCUAGUAAUCGCGGAUCAGCAUGCCGCGGUGAAUCCGUUCCCGGGCCUUGUACACACCGCCCGUCACACCACGAGAAUGGGCAACACCCGAAGUCGGUGGGGUAACCUUUACGGAAGCUAGCCGCCGAAGGUGGGGCCUGUGAUUGGGGCGUAUUUAACAAGGUAACC